GAUGUACUCCCUCCGUUCGGAAUUACUUGUCGCAGAAAUGGAUGUAUCUAGAUGUAUUUUAGUUCUAGAUACAUCCAUUUCUGAGACAAGUAAUUCUGAACGGAGGGAGUACAUA
rfam:Triticum aestivum genome assembly, contig: Triticum_aestivum_CS42_TGACv1_scaffold_077933_1DL